rnacentral:rRNA from 1 species
GUCAAGUCAGCAUGGCCCUUACGGCUAGGGCGACACACACGCUACAAUGGCGUCGACAAUGCGCAGCGACCUCGCAAGAGGAGGCGAAUCGCACAAACGGCGCCCCAGUUCAGAUUGAGGGCUGCAACCCGCCCCCAUGAAGGAGGAGUUGCUAGUAACCGCGUAUCAGCCAUGGCGCGGUGAAUACGUACCCGGGCCUU